GGAGGAGUCUGAAGAUCACUUGGCAGGGUACGGUAUGGGACAGGUCCUUUCUUGAACUAAACUGCCAAGCAUUCAGUGUCUACUGCAGAGAAUACAACUUUGAUGGGCUGGCUGUGUUGUUAGAAUGCUAAAUGUAUGUUUGCCUAAAACAUUAUUUCACAGAGAACCCACACAAGGCAAGUGGUCACAUAAAGGUCAGAAGAAGCAAUAAAAGGACACUCUAAAGGUCUCUCUGAAGAACUUUGGAAUUGUGAGACAUUGGCGAUAUUGGUACAGGACUACCUAACAUGGUGUGUCCACAUCGAAGAAAGCACUGUGCUCUGUGAUCAAAGCACAACUGCAGUAGCUCAAAAGAAAGAGAAUGAUUGUGAAGAAAGUACUAAACGAACUAUCCUUGAGAUGUAGGUAGAAGCUGCAUUCCUGACCAAGGCCUCACCACUGAAAACAAAGAUAUUAAGCAAAGAUAUACCUACUACAAACUUAAAUAAUCAAGACCAACCCUGUGAAAUUUAGAGGAAAAAAAACUGAAUGGAAAUUUUUAUGAGAACCACAACCUAAAUGCUACC